UCCCCUCUGUCUCCAUGGUAACGCAGGCACCGCCAUAGCGCGAGCGUUGUCUUGUUUUUGAGCAGUAGCAGUGCGGCGGGUCCAGAGAAACUGCUUUCUUCCACAUUUAACGAUCAAACCUGACAAAUACACUCCCGAGGCUCCUCUGACUUCAGAAAAACACAAUGCCGUUGGUCUUCUUCUUCAGGUGUUGCCUGUUUGGAGGCUUGCAAUCCCUCUACCUGCAGUGCUGAUGAUCACUGUGAGCCUGUACAUGAUCGUCCUAGGGAUUGGGCUCUGGAUCCGAUACUGCCUCAAGGACUACUGUUCUUUAGAGUGCAGUGAAUGCUGUGCAGGCCUCUCUGUGUGCGAGCAGUGCAUCAGACUGGGUGAAAUGUGCGACUGCCGCCUGCCGGCUGUGGGACCAUUCCUGGCUGAAUCCUGCUCUCCGGCUUCUUGCUCCAGGUGGGACUGUGCCUGUACCUGCCAGGUUCCUGACUGCGACACCUGCAACUGUUUAUGCUUCGAGAUCAGGAUGAAGUAGGAGGCGAGGAUGGAGGUGCUCAUCCACCGAACUAAUUUUAUACUUGUUAUAGCAUUUACAGCGGAGAUGGAGGUGGCUACACACAGAACCGGCCUUACACCUUCUCUUCUGAGUCAUUCACUGACUUUUUCUCUUUGACUUUUUGAGACUGAACAUUUUUCUUUCAUUGCCAGAGAAUGGGUUGCCUUGCCACUGAUAGGCUAACCGGCAGCUGUAUGCUGAUAUAUUUCUUCUGUAAAUGUGGCUCCAUAAUCGCUAUGGUUGGCUGGCCUUUUCUAUACACUAAUUUCCGCUAAUUUAAGAGACUACCCACCACCACCAUCACAUAUCCUCCUCUACAUUUACUAUAAUUACUGCCUUUGGACCAUCUGUGUGUUCAUCUGAGUAGCUGCAUCGCUCUUACUCUGAUCACACGGAGCUGACUGAAUGGGCAGGUUUUCGCUUCCUUCCUGAUCAGGGUCCGCCCUUGGUGGAUUGUGAUAAUGUCGACUGUAGGUCUCUAAAACGGUGCUAUUAUCCCUGAGCAGCGGGUCUUGGAUUAAAAGCAUCAACGCCAAAAGACAGCUUGUGCCUUAUGAAACGGCCUGAGGUCACGCCGAGCUGAUGUCUGUUUUGCUGAAAGUACCUUCAGUACCUUGUUUUUGACGAAUGGUUUAUUAAAUCCACAUUUACACCACAGAAGCUUCUUUUUGUUUUAUCUCCUCCCACUAAAACCUCCCUCCUCGGGAAGUAGCUACAAAGUUACAGCUGAGUUUGCACACAGUGCCAUAUGUACAUGAGCAUGUUCAGGGAUUGUACUCCUGUUUAUGUUUCCAGGACUACUGCAAACAGGAAGGAUUUCCACGUCAUCUCAAAGCAAUAAAACAGACAUAUUUUGUGUUUAC